UGGCUUAAGCUCUCAUCUCCCUGUCACGUGUUGGGAACCCAGGGCCUACUGAAGAAGUGAUUAGUGCACCUGAGCAGGAUAGGCAGCCUGAGCCAGCCCUCCACCCUUCAGCUGCGACAGGGCCUUGCGGAUGGUGUUCAGCUCCUGGAUCGUGGCUCCUCGGGCUGCCAGCAGCUUGGAGCCAAAUUCCCAACUCUAAGACACUACACCUUCCCAGCUCCAGUGCACCCGCGUUGGUAAGUGAGGAUAGGCGAAGACCAGGCUCGACUCCUCCCGAAACCAAAGCGGAGCUGACAUCAAGUCCGGAAUUGGCCAACCGCCAGGUGACCGGAAGUGACGUCUCCUAAGACUGAGCCUGUGAUCUUCUCGAGGGAAAUGUUGCCGUGUAGUGCAAGAUGUCGCAAGAUUAAGGGGUUGCUGUCGCCUGGAUCGGUCUCUGUCCGGGCCAGGAACGACUUCCAAGGACCAUUUAUUUGCUUGAGACGCAAACUCACCUUCCCGCAGCUUCUGGCGCUGGAGACCGGAAGUACUCUGUGGGUGGGGAUUAACCCGGAAGUGGCUGGUCUGAGAUCUCCCUAGAGACCGAGAGCCUGGUUUAG
ensembl:antisense D030055H07Rik RIKEN cDNA D030055H07 gene